rnacentral:rRNA from 1 species
GUGCACCAGGCGCGAAACUUCACACUGUGCGAAAGCACGAUGAGGGAAUCCCAAGUGCUUGCACGUAAGUGUAAGCUGUUUCUCUGUUUAAAACGCAGAGAGAGUAAGGGCUGGGUAAGACGGGUGCCAGCCGCCGCGGUAAUACCUGCAGCUCAAGUGGUGACCGUUAUUAUUGGGCCUAAAACGUCCGUAGCCGGUUUAAUAAAUGCCUGGGUAAAUCGUGUAGCUUAACUAUACGAAUUCCGGGUAGACUGUUAAACUCGAGACCGGGAGAAGUUAGAGGUACUCCUGGGGUAGAGGUGAAAUUCUGUAAUCCUAGGAGGACCACCAGUGGCGAAGGCGUCUAACUAGAACGGGUCUGACGGUGAGGGACGAAGCCCUGGGGCGCAAACGGGAUUAGAUACCCCUGUAGU